rnacentral:rRNA from 18 species
GGGCACAGUGGCGGACGGGUGAGUAACGCGUGAGAAUCUGGCUUCAGGUCUGGGACAACCACUGGAAACGGUGGCUAAUACCGGAUGUGCCGAGAGGUGAAAGGUUAACUGCCUGAAGAUGAGCUCGCGUCUGAUUAGCUAGUUGGAAGUGUAAUGGACUCCCAAGGCGACGAUCAGUAGCUGGUCUGAGAGGACGAUCAGCCACACUGGGACUGAGACACGGCCCAGACUCCUACGGGAGGCAGCAGUGGGGAAUUUUCCGCAAUGGGCGAAAGCCUGACGGAGCAAUACCGCGUGAGGGAGGAAGGCUCUUGGGUCGUAAACCUCUUUUCUCAGGGAAGAACAAAAUGACGGUACCUGAGGAAUAAGCAUCGGCUAACUCCGUGCCAGCAGCCGCGGUAAUACGGAGGAUGCAAGCGUUAUCCGGAAUGAUUGGGCGUAAAGCGUCCGCAGGUGGCUAUGUAAGUCUGCUGUUAAAGAGUCUAGCUCAACUAGAUAAGAGCAGUGGAAACUACAAGGCUAGAGUACGUUCGGGGCAGAGGGAAUUCCUGGUGUAGCGGUGAAAUGCGUAGAGAUCAGGAAGAACACCGGUGGCGAAGGCGCUCUGCUAGGCCGUAACUGACACUGAGGGACGAAAGCUAGGGGAGCGAAUGGGAUUAGAUACCCCAGUAGUCCUAGCCGUAAACGAUGGAUACUAGGCGUG